UCUCGCUUAAACAAAUUUGAUUCUCCUUUGAUGACAUAUUCCCUUUUGCUAGAGCUGACAGAGAAUCGAUUGAACUUCUAUUAAGUUAUGUCAGCUUCAUUAAAUCAUCUGUAACCCAUAUGUGAGCUCAGCAUGCUCUCUUGAAUCCUCCAUAAUUAUUUCCACCAAACUUGUCAUCCUGAAUUUUAGGAUGCUUUAAAAUAAGCUUCAUGUUGUUUGAAGUUCUACUUUUGUUUUCGAUUGUGAAAUUUUCGAAACACUGGCUUCACUCUCUUGACCCAACCUCUAGUUCCUUCAAAAUUUUCCACCAUUCUUGUUGGUUGUUAUUUGUCAGCUUUGUAUAUGGUCGGCGAAAUAUUUCAUCUUCAUCUGCGUUCUCUUCUUGCAUGAAGAUGAUGAUGCUCAUUUGGGUUCUUCCUCAAUUUUUUGACAGUUGCAGUCUGGGUUUGAUAUACUAUCAGCCAAGCAAAAGGGCAAUAAUGGAGGAAGAUACAUUUGCCACCCAGUAUGAAGAUUACACGAAAAAAAUCCAAUUCAGGUUCAUACCACAAUUCAGAAUUAAAAAUAUCAAUACACUCCUCCACCACCGAAUCCUCCACGUCUCUUUUCCGGUCGGUCGGAGCUUUGCGCCAGUUAAGAGGAGAAGUGUGAUCGGAGAGUGAAAUCCACCACCUCACUACCGUUCCUUCCAAAUUAUCCUCAGAUUGACUAAAUGUUGGCAUUUGUUUCUAUUUUGAAAUAACUCGAAAAAUCAGGGGCCGAUUUUGUCGCGAGAGCGAUCUGGAAAUCAUUAAUGUUUCUCGUAAUAACAGAAUUAUAAAGGAUCCGAGAUCCAGGAUAAAUGAUAUCAAUCAAGGCUGGAUCUUUCGUGUAUAUGCAUUGUUGACUUCAUGUACCUUCCCGGGUCACAAAAUUUGUCUUUCCCCUACUGUACAUUAUGGUAUAAUUGAAUCCUUAACUUUGAUAACCAUGUUUGUUGUGAUAUUUUUCUUCAUCAGAACUUUUUAUUUUUCUCAUAUAUAGAAAAACAUAAAUGUCUCUUAGCUAGUGUGUUGCUCAGAUAUGCUAUGGGUAUUCCUUUCUACAUCAAUAACGCGCUAAUGCUGGCAUUGGUUUCUAUUUUGAGAUCAAUCGAAAAUCAGGUAAUACUAAUAUCGGAGUGGUAAUUUGA